rnacentral:rRNA from 1 species
AUUGAACGCUGGCGGCAUGCUUUACACAUGCAAGUCGGACGGCAGCACAGAGAAGCUUGCUUCUUGGGUGGCGAGUGGCGAACGGGUGAGUCAUAUAUCUGAACGUACCGAGUAAUGGGGGAUAACUAAUCGAAAGAUUAGCUAAUACCGCAUAUUCUCUGAGGCGGAAAGUAGGGGACCUUCGGGCCUUGCGUUAUUCGAGCGGCCGAUAUCUGACUAGCUAGUUGGUGGGGUAAAGGCCUACCAAGGCGACGAUCAGUAGCGGGUCUGAGAGGAUGAUCCGCCACACUGGGACUGAGACACGGCCCAGACUCCUACGGGAGGCAGCAGUGGGGAAUUUUGGACAAUGGGCGCAAGCCUGAUCCAGCCAUGCCGCGUGACUGAAGAAGGCCUUCGGGUUGUAAAGGACUUUUGUCAGGGAAGAAAAGGCUGUUGCUAAUACCGACAGAUGAUGACGGUACCUGAAGAAUAAGCACCGGCUAACUACGUG